rnacentral:lncRNA from 1 species
CACUUGGCUGAGUGGCAAGCCCCAGGUGUCCAGCCCCACCUGGGUUUAAUUUCUACCUGAGUCUCAGCCAGCAAACCCUCUGACCCAGCAGAUGCAGUAACACUGCUGGGGUGAGGCUCUCUGCAAGUGCUGACUUUGGCCAGAGAAUCUCCCCGGUCCUGGUUGGGGGUGUGGGUGGGGGCUUCAGGACUCGCCCACUCUUGCCAUCUGCAGUCAACCCUUCCCUUCCCAGUGCUGAACUGGGUGGUCCCUCUCCCCACACCCAGACUCAAGGGAGUGAUGAGCGGGGUGGGGGUGUCUCCUCUUAGAAGCUCUGUACCCCUCAAUCUUGUACACAUCUACCCCACCCACACACCCCUCACCCUGCCCAUCGCCACUCUGGCUGGCCAGUGCAAAACCGGCAAAACUCUCCUCCCAGGCACUUUACAACGGAACAAAGCUCCCCAAUGGCCCUUGCUAACCCUCCCAAGUGUCUGUCUCCUUGCCUCUCCACUCCCAUCCCGCCUGGCUACCCCUACCCGGCUUUUCUCAUCAACUUUGAACCCUUCCCCCCACUAGAGUCUCC